ACUUCUACAAAAAAAUACAAAAAUUAGCCAGGCAUGGUGGCAGGCACCUGUAGUCCCAGCUACUCAGGAGGCUGAGGCAGGAGUAAUCUUGCCUGAGGCCAACUUGACUAAUUUUUUAAUUUUUGUAGAGAUAGGAUUUCGUUAUGUUUCCCAGACUGGUCUUGAACUCCUGGGCUCAAGUGAUCCUUCCACCUUGGCCUCCCAAAGUGCUGGGAUUUCAGGCAUGAGACACCACCUCUGGCCCAAAAUUAUUCUAAGUCAAGGUGAUUGUGAUAAUAGUGAUGAUGAAGAUGACGUUGUUAGCAUGGAGCUCCUUGUUUCAGACAAGGAGCAAGAAGGGUGGCAUGAAAACAUUUUGGGUUUCAGUCCAAUGCCUGGGUUCAAAUCCUUUCUCUUCCCUUUCCUAUGUGGCCUUGGGCAAAUAAUUCAACUUUUUGAGCCUCUGAUUUUUCGUAUCUGAAAUGAGGAUGAAAAUACUCACCUCAUCCAGUUACACAUGGAAAGUAAAUCAGAUGAUGGAUGUAAUGUAGUAAUUAUCCAAUGAAUAUCUGUGCCCUAGAACUCAAUGGUGCUGGCAUCUCCAGGCCCCUUCCUAAAGAAAAGAAGGCCAGGACAGAUGGUAAAAAUAACAGUGCUGUCCUCCACAGUGCUCGUUCUGUUACUC
rnacentral:lncRNA from 1 species